rnacentral:rRNA from 1 species
UACGAAGGUGGCAAGCGUUGUUCGGAAUUAUUGGGCGUAAAGGGCGCGUAGGCGGGUUUGUAAGUCGGUUGUGAAAUCCCUAGGCUUAACCUGGGAAUUGCAUUCGAAACUGCAAGUCUUGAGUUCUCGAGAGGAUGGUGGAAUUCCUGGAGUAGAAGUGAAAUUCGUAGAUAUCAGGAGGAACACCGGAGGCGAAGGCGGCCAUCUGGCGAGUAACUGACGCUAAAGCGCGAAAGCGUGGGGAUCAAACAGG